rnacentral:rRNA from 1 species
UACGUAGGGGGCAAGCGUUAUCCGGAUUUACUGGGUGUAAAGGGAGCGUAGACGGCCAGACAAGUCUGAAGUGAAAAUCCAGCGCUUAACGCUGGAAGUGCUUUGGAAACUGCCGGGCUGGAGUGCAGGAGGGGCAGGCGGAAUUCCUAGUGUAGCGGUGAAAUGCGUAGAUAUUAGGAGGAACACCAGUGGCGAAGGCGGCCUGCUGGACUGCAACUGACGUUGAGGCUCGAAGGCGUGGGGUGCAAACAGG